rnacentral:snRNA from 1 species
GGAUGUGAGGGCAAUCUGGCUGUAACAUCUGUCACCUCAUUGAUCGUCAGGGUUGAUUUGGCUGAUCUGGCUGGCUAGGCAGGUGUCCCCUUCCUCCCUCACCCGCUAGGUAGAAGAGGAUGGCCUUCCUCAAAUAGAGAGGACCAGUCUUCUGUCAAGGAUAUACGAGUGGCUGUGCUACCCUGCUAGAACCUCCAAACAAGCUCUCAAAUUAGAUACUUGACACCUAAAAUUUUAUCAUUGAAAUUAAAAUCCUGUCAUUUUU